AUACGUAGGUGGCAAGCGUUGUCCGGAAUUAUUGGGCGUAAAGCGCGCGCAGGUGGUUCCUUAAGUCUGAUGUGAAAGCCCCCGGCUCAACCGGGGAGGGUCAUUGGAAACUGGGGAACUUGAGUGCAGAAGAGGAUAGUGGAAUUCCAAGUGUAGCGGUGAAAUGCGUAGAGAUUUGGAGGAACACCAGUGGCGAAGGCGACGGUCUGGUCUGUAACGGACACUGAGGCGCGAAAGCGUGGGGAGCAAACAGGAUUAGAUACCCUGGUAGUCCACGCCGUAAACGAUGAGUGCUAAGUGUUGGGGGGUUUCCGCCCCUCAGUGCUGCAGCUAACGCAUUAAGCACUCCGCCUGGGGAGUACGGUCGCAAGACUGAAACUCAAAGGAAUUGACGGGG
rnacentral:rRNA from 1 species